GGCGGACGGGUGAGUAAUGCCUAGGAAUCUGCCUGGUAGUGGGGGACAACGUUUCGAAAGGAACGCUAAUACCGCAUACGUCCUACGGGAGAAAGCAGGGGACCUUCGGGCCUUGCGCUAUCAGAUGAGCCUAGGUCGGAUUAGCUAGUUGGUGGGGUAAUGGCUCACCAAGGCGACGAUCCGUAACUGGUCUGAGAGGAUGAUCAGUCACACUGGAACUGAGACACGGUCCAGACUCCUACGGGAGGCAGCAGUGGGGAAUAUUGGACAAUGGGCGAAAGCCUGAUCCAGCCAUGCCGCGUGUGUGAAGAAGGUCUUCGGAUUGUAAAGCACUUUAAGUUGGGAGGAAGGGCAGUAAGUUAAUACCUUGCUGUUUUGACGUUACCGACAGAAUAAGCACCGGCUAACUCUGUGCCAGCAGCCGCGGUAAUACAGAGGGUGCAAGCGUUAAUCGGAAUUACUGGGCGUAAA
rnacentral:rRNA from 1 species